rnacentral:rRNA from 1 species
GUAACACGUGGGUGAUCUGCCUUGCACUCUGGGAUAAGCCUGGGAAACUGGGUCUAAUACCGGAUAUGACCACUUACUGCAUGGUUUGUGGUGGAAAGAUUUAUCGGUGCGAGAUGGGCCCGCGGCCUAUCAGCUUGUUGGUGGGGUAACGGCCUACCAAGGCGACGACGGGUAGCCGACCUGAGAGGGUGAUCGGCCACACUGGGACUGAGACACGGCCCAGACUCCUACGGGAGGCAGCAGUGGGGAAUAUUGCACAAUGGGCGGAAGCCUGAUGCAGCGACGCCGCGUGAGGGAUGACGGCCUUCGGGUUGUAAACCUCUUUCGACAGGGACGAAGCGCAAGUGACGGUACCUGUAGAAGAAGCACCGGCCAACUACGUGCCAGCAGCCGCGGUAAUACGUAGGGUGCGAGCGUUGUCCGGAAUUACUGGGCGUAAAGAGCUUGUAGCGGUUUGUCGCGUCGAUUGUGAAAUCUUGCAGCUCAACUGCAAGCCUGCAGUCGAUACGGGCAGACUAGA